CAGUAGCCGCGGGAAUACGUAGGGUGCAAGCGUUAAUCGGAAUUACUGGGCGUAAAGCGUGCGCAGGCGGUGUUGUAAGACUGAUGUGAAAUCCCCGGGCUCAACCUGGGAACUGCAUUGGUGACUGCAACGCUGGAGUGCGGCAGAGGGGGAUGGAAUUCCGCGUGUAGCAGUGAAAUGCGUAGAUAUGCGGAGGAACACCGAUGGCGAAGGCAAUCCCCUGGGCCUGCACUGACGCUCAUGCACGAAAGCGUGGGGAGCAAACAGGAUUAGAUACCCCCGUAGUCCCUGUCUCUUAUAC
rnacentral:rRNA from 1 species